AUUGAACGCUGGCGGCAGGCCUAACACAUGCAAGUCGACCGGAGUGGCGGACGGGUGAGUAAUGUCUGGGAAACUGCCCGGGGGAGGGGGAUAACUAAUGGAAACGGUAGCUAAUACCGCAUACUAUCAGAUGAGCCUAGUUCGGAUGAGCUAGUUGGUGGGGUAAAGGCCUACCAGGGCGACGAUCCGUAACUGGUCUGAGAGGAUGAUAAGCCACACUGGACCUGAGAAACGGUCCAGACUCCUACGGGAGGCAGCAGUGAGGAAUAUUGGGCAAUGGGCGAAAGCCUGAUCCAGCCAUGCCGCGUGUGUGAUGAAGGUCUUCGGAUUGUAAAGCACUUUAAGUUGGGAGGCGUUAUCAACAGAAUAAGCACCGGCUAACUUCGUGCCAGCAGCCGCGGUAAUAC
rnacentral:rRNA from 1 species